UGUACAUUGGUAAUCUAGUUUGAAGUGUGAGUGGUUGCAGGCAAGCUAUUGUAAAAUGGCUAACAAGCAUUUUCUUCUAUCUUGUUAAGGCAUGUAGGAAAGGUCUCCUGAAAUUACAGCACUAUGCAAAUUGAUUUCAGCAUCAUGGAGAGUUAAAUGGAAGGAAAAUAAAAGUGUUUGACACUAACAAGGAAAGGAACAUCUUGGUUACAGCUUGAAGAAUGGUGGAAGUUUCAUUAGAAAUUUGAAGGUCAUAAUAAAGCCAUGAUUAUCAACAGAUGAAGUAAGAUAAAGAUCAAGCUUAUCAAAGCAGAUAGAACUGGAGAAUUUGACCCUGUGUGCAAUAGCAUUGUCAGUGUUUGCUUCUUGGAAAAGAAAACUACCCAGAGUCUCUUCUUUGCUGAUUGCAAGGACCGGUGCAUCAGGGAGAACAUGACUUGAUUGAAUUGAAGAUUUUUAUAUUCCAAACCAUAAGGCUGUUAACAUACAUUAUCAGGAAUUACGCUAAUCAAUUGUUUAAUAAAAAAAGGUUUUUAUUUAUUUGAAAUAUAACUUUCUCAGGAAUACUUUUCUCCUUACUCAAGGAUUCCCAACAUAAAGGAACAGAAAAGCAUUAGUGCAACAUGCAAAAAUGGUGCUAAAAAACACAAAUCACUUUUACAUAAUGUGACUGGUGAAAAAGGCUUAAAUUAAUAGUGUGAAAACAUUUGCUGUGACAAUCCAGCCUAAAAUUCUGAGCUACUAUUAUCUGACAUGAACUUUCCAGUGCUUGUGCAGGGCUUCCAAUAGGAUGAGCUAUAAUCUUAGACAAAGAUUAUGAUUGAUACCAACCUCCAAAUCCAGGUCUCAUUGUGAAGUCAUGAUCAUCCACUCUGAGAAGUUGCUCAGAUUUUGUUAAAUAAGAUUUUGUUACAUCAGCACUCCUCUUUAGAAUAGGGCUGUAAGACAAGAUAUGAUUUGAUGAAGAAAUUCAGCAAUGAAGAAAAUUCUGUCAGCCUAUCCAUGUCUCUUCCUCUCCAGCACAUUUAGGCAACUUGGUGAGCAUUGAUGGGUUAGGCCAAAGCGUUAGCAUUUGUGCUGUACUGUUCUAUGAUUGUACAACUAUCUCCAUUGAGCCAGCUACUCACCAAGUAUCAGAUCACAUUUCUAUUUGCAGGGAUUGCUAUGGACACUAGAUUUGGAAAUAGGAGGUAUCAGAAACUUGACUCAGAAACAGGCAGGACUGACUAUUAAACAUUCCUGGAUGCAAUGUGUACAAGGAAGGGAAAAAGGGCGGAAUGACAGCAGUGCUGAUGAAGAGAAUAUUACAAUGUUGAGAGAAAGGGUGGCACAGAAGGGAGUCGAAGGCGUCACCUGGUUAGAACUAAAGACAAUGGCAAAUCGACUGAUGUUGUGUACUUGGAUUUUCAGAAGGCUUUUGACAAGGUGUCACACACAAGGCUGCUUAACAAGCUACGAACCUAUGGUAUUACAGGAAAGGUUCUAGCAUGGAUAAAGCAAUGGCUGAUUGGCAGGAAGCAAAGAGUGGGAAUAAAGCGAGCCCUUUCUUGUUGGCUGCUGGUGACUAGUGGUGUUCCACAGGGGUCUGUGUCGAGACUGAUUCUAUUUAUGUUAUAUAUCAACGAUUUGGAUGAUGGAAUUGAUGGUUCUGUUGCAAAGCUUGCAGACAAUAUGAAGACAGGUGGAGGGGCAGGUAGUUUUAAGGAAGUAGGGAGACCACAGAAGGACUUAGACAAAUUAGCAGAGUGGGCAAAUAAAUGGCAGAUGGAAUACAAUGUUAGGAAGUGUAUGAUCAUGCAACUUGUUAGAAGAAAUGAAAGGGUUGACUACUUUCUAAAUGGAGAAAAAAGACAAAAAGCUGAGGUGCAGGGACUUGGGAGUCCUUGUGCAGGAUUCCCUAAAGGUUAACUUUCAGGCUGAGUCUGUGGUGAGGAAGGCAAAUGAGAUGUUAGCAUUCAUUUCAAGAGGACUAAAAUAUAAAAGCAAGAAUGUACUGUUGCAAUUUUAUAAAGCAUUGGUGAGUCCUCACUUGGAGUAUUGUGAGCAGGUUUGAGCUCCUUUUCUUAGAAGGGUUGUGCUGAAACUGGAAAGGGUUCAAAGGAGAUUCUCAAAAAUAAUUUCAAGAUUGAAUGCCUAUUCAUAUGGGCCUCUUCACUAGACUUCAGCAGAAUGAGGGGUGACCUCUUUGAAACCUAUCAAAUGGUGAAAGGCCUAGAUUGAGUGGAUGUGGAGAGGAUGUUUCCUAUAUUGGAAGAGUCUAAGACAACAGGACACAGCUAUAGAAGAGAGGGUCAUCCUUUUAGAACAGAGAUGAAGAGGAAUUUCUUUAGUGAAUCUGUGGAAUUCUUUGCCCCAGGCACCUGUGGAGGCUGUCUUUAUAAUAUUUAAGGCAGAGAUUGAUAAAUUCUUGAUUGGUCGGGGCAUGAUGGGAUAUGGGUGGAAGGCAGGAGAUUGGGGCUGAGAGAAAAAUUGGAUCAGCUAUGAUGAAAUGGUAGAGCAGACUUGAUGGGCCAAAUGUCCUAAUUCUGCUCCUUUAUCUUAUGGUCUUAUUAGGUCCAGAAGGUAACUAAUAGCAGGAAUUUGUAGGGCAUAGUAGAUGUAUGAAGGAAUAGAAAUAAUCAGAUAUCUCUUUCAAAGGGCUGGCAUGUGUAUGAUGAGAUGAACAGGCUCUCCUAUGCUGAAUAAGUCUGCAUUGGAUAAAAUAAUUUAAUUUGUUUCUCAUUUCUCCGGAUCACUCCAUCAUAUUAUUCUAAGGCUGCUUCAGUUCUCUCUCCACAUCUCUAAGAGUCAGAGCAAAUUACAGUGUAAAAAAAACUCCUCUGUUCUGCAUGAAUAUAUUUGGAUAUAGUUAAGGAUACUCACCUGCUCAUUCCAAGUAUUCUCGCCUUGUAACUCAUCCUUUUUAUGGGAACUGGAUUUUGAUGGAUCACCUUUUCACUUCAUUCACCCUAACACUGAGCUGAUUCCACAUCCUAUGUACCCACUUUGAAGGAGUCUACAACUCGUGUUUUCAGUAUUUAUUGCUUGCUUGCUUGUUUGUUGGUUUAAUUUAUUUA